UACCACUUUGUCACAAGAUGAAUAACAGCGGGCUGUAUUAUCUCGGAAUUUACAACUUUACCAACAUUUACUUUAAGCAAUUAAACUAUAUAUACUACUUUUGAUUCUACCACCAAAAUAAUCUCCAUUUUCCCUUUCUCCAGGAUAAAGAUGAGAUGGUCAUAUCCUAAUUUUCUUGUCCCUGCCUCCUUUUUGCUACAGCAUCUUCUGAGGCUCACAGGAGAAUAUGGAAUGUGAUCUAUCCAAUCACAGUCAGUGUGAUGAUUUUAUUCCAAAUAUCUACCAAGGAAUGACCAGGAGAAUAAGAUCCUCCGACGUUCGCAAUGGUGUGGUGUCAGGAGGCUGCCUCUUAGACAAUCUCCAGAUGUACUGGGAUGUGAGCUUGAAAAAGAGUUCCUGAAGUACCACAUCUGGAAGACAUGCCACUAGCUGAGCUUCCCAAAAGUCUACCAAGAGCUGAGGAGUUGUAUCUUCAUCCUUAGCACAAAGCAUCUUGAAAACAGUAAAAGAAGCCUCUAUAUUCCAGAUAAAUAUAGCACUGAUAAAGCGACAGCUGGGCUGAAUAUCAAAGCAUCACAUGGGCCAUGCAAUUAAUAAUUUACCAUUAGCAUUAGUGCCAUGGCGAAAGAAAAUUUAGACUUUUUUUAAAGGAAACAGAUUCUAGGUUGUACAAAUAAAGUUUCUUCAGAUAUAAUCUUUUAAUUAGUACUUUUAUAACUGAUUAUGUAUGUCUGUUUUUUCAAUAAACAAA